rnacentral:rRNA from 1 species
CCUACGGGUGGCAGCAGUGAGGAAUAUUGGUCAAUGGACGAGAGUCUGAACCAGCCAAGUAGCGUGAAGGAUGACUGCCCUAUGGGUUGUAAACCUCUUUUAUAUGGGAAUAAAACGUUCCACGUGUGGGAUUUUGUAUGUACCAUAUGAAUAAGGAUCGGCUAACUCCGUGCCAGCAGCCGCGGUAAUACGGAGGAUCCGAGCGUUAGCCGGAUUUAUUGGGUUUAAAGGGAGCGUAGGUGGAUUUUUAAGUCAGUUGUGAAAGUUUGCGGCUCAACCGUAAAAUUGCAGUUGAAACUGGCAGUCUUGAGUACAGUAGAGGUAGGCGGAAUGCGUGGUGUAGCGGUGAAAUGCUUAGAUAUCACGAAGAACUCCGAUUGCGAAGGCAGUUCACUGGACUGCAACUGACACUGAGGCUCGAAAGUGUGGGUAUCAAACAGGAUUAGAUACCCUUGUAGUC